CGGGGGUCCACUGCAGAGAAACGGGGGUCCAUUGCAGAGAAGCCAGUGUACAGCGGAGAGAAGCGGGGGUCCAAUGGAGAGAACCCAGUGUACAGGAGAGAGAAGCGGGGGUCCAGUGGAGAGAAGAUGAGGUUGAGUAGAGAGAAACUAAGGUCCAGUGAAGAGAAACCAAGGACUGAUAGAGAGGAUUCGAGAUCCAUUGGAGAUAAAGCGGGGUCAAGUGAAGAGAAACUGGAAUCUAAUGGAGAAAAACUGAGCAGAAGUGAAGAGAACAUUGAAAGAGUGAUAGAAAUUACUGGUGAUGAAAGAGGGAUAGAAUUUACAGAUGAGGAGAUGGAAAUUCCUUCUGAAAGUACAAAAAUGAGAGAUGAAGAACUAGAAGGGAUUGAGGAAGGAAUAGAAAUUGAUGAGGAUAGCCUUCAUGAAGUGAAAGAUAUUACUGGUGAAUUCGUUUCUAUGGAAGAGAAAAAUAUUACAGGGGAAGGUCCCAGUGGAUGAGGCAGAUGAAGGAUUGCAGCUAAAGAAGGAGAUAUCCAGGUAGGGGAACUAUUGAAAGUCAAAGAGGAGACAUUAGAGUCAUUAUUAGAGACAUUAUUGAUCUUGAAGGGGUAAAGAAGAGUCUAGAAAGAAGGAUGUGGGAAUGGAGCAGAGCUACUGGGCAUGAAGGCAGAGCCAGUACCAGUGGAAGGGGAAAAAAAAUAGUGGUAAAGAGGAAAAUAAGAACAUUCUGAGGAGAAAGAAUAGAUUUGGUAAUGUUAGAAGAAAAUUGGAUUUGGGGUUCUUAAAUAGCUCUUUGAGAAGUGGCUUUAGGAUGGGCUAGAAGGAUUUCAUCUGACACAUAAUUAGGGAGACAAUAUGCAGGCAUGGCCUGAUGAGAAGAAUUACAACAGGAUAAAGGAUAGAUAUCGAGGGCUGUGGAAGAAGCAGCAGGCCUGGAGUAAGCAAAAUGAAAAUGGAUCCUGAAGAAUGAGUGGCUCCAAAGUUACAAAAGCAAGUGAAGAGGAGAUGAGCAAAUGAAGGGGAAAAAACUCAAAAAGUAAGACGCCAUAUUCCAUAAUGAUGAUUAUGUUUGUUGGUUUUAAAUUUACUUCCUUCACUAUUUCUGUACUGGCCACUCCCAUGAAGCCAGUUUUACCAUCUACUGUGACAGGCCUCUUGCAGGGUCCUAUACACAUCUGGAUCAAAUUCAUCCUUAUGGAUCUUCUAAAUAGCACCAGAGUUGUACCCAGAAUAAUUGCUGGGCUGCACUGUUUAACCUACUUUAGCAGGGCCAGUAUGUCACAGGGUACCCCAACCUCCACCCCAAAUUUGAAUUACCCAUGCUUGAGAUGGGGUUAGUUCAAUUAUUUGUACCUGCUCUUUCUUUCUUCCUUCCUUCCUUCCUUUCUUUCUUUCUUUCUUCCUUCCUUCCUUUCUUUCUUUUUCUUUCUUUCUUUCAUGUGCCAUUGUGUCCAGCAGAAUAUUUAGUUUUUUUUAAUAUUUAUUUUUUACAACCUGUACACUCAGAAAAAUGAGAAAUUAUAUCCCAUCUGAUUCAAAUGUAUGAUAUGUCAAGAUCAUUGUACUGUCAUGUGUAACUAAUUAAAACAAAUUAAAAAAUGCAAAAACAAUAUUUUUUAAUUGUAGUUGGACACAAUACACUUAUUUUAUUUAUUUAUUUUUAUGUAGUGCUGAGGAUCGAACCCAGUGCCUCACACAUGCUAGGCGAGCGUUCUACUGCUGAGCCAUAACCCUAGUCCCCUGCUUUUUGUUUCUGUCUUUGACAUCUUAUUUAUUUAUUUAGUUAGUUAGUUAGUUUUAGUUAGGUGGGCACAAUAUCUUUUUUUUUUUUAAUAUUUAUUUUUUAGUUUUCGGCGGACACAACAUCUUUGUUUGUAUGUGGUGCAGAGGAUCGAACCCGGGCCGCACGCAUGCCAGGCGAGCGCGCUACCGCUUGAGCCACAUCCCCAGCCCCCAAUAUCUUUUGAUUUUUUAUUUUUAUGUGGUGUUGAGGAUUGAACCCAGCUCCCCGCGCAUGCCAGGCGAGUGCAUUACCGCUUAAGCCACAUCCCCAGCCUUUUGACUUCUUUUUUAAUAUUUAUUUUUUAGUUGUAAUUGGACACAAUACCUUUAUUUAUUUUUAUGUAGUGCUGAGAAUCGAACCCAGAGCCUCACACGUGCUAGGCAAGCACUCUACCGUUGAGCUAAAACCCCAGCCCCUAUCUUUGAUUUUUUUUAAAAAUAUUUUUUUAGUUGUCAACGGACCUUUAUUAUUUUUCUUUAUUUAUAUGCAGUGCUGAGAAUCGAACCCAGUGCCUCACACACGCUAGGCAAGCGCUCUACCACUGAGCCAUAACCCUAGCCCAUUGAUCUUGACUUUUAAUUAUUUAUCUAAUCACAUGAGGUUUUCCACAGCUCCCCUGUAUCUCAUUAAGGGUCUUCUUUUUAUGUUAUACACUCUCUACUCUUAUCCCAAGGAGGAGAGAAGGUCCCCUGAGUGUCUAAUGUGAAGACUUCCAUGUUAAGUCCAAGUCUUAACUUGGUCUGUUGGAUUGUUUGUCUCUUGGGCAAGAAUGUAAGAGGUGGCUAAAAGCAGAAAUAGGAUGAAAGAAACACUUACCAUUUUUAUCCUCUGUGUACUUUUAAAAGUCUGCCAAAUUUCUGAGUAGAAACUUUAUCCUAACACAAAUAUCAUAACACAAACAUAUAAUAGCUGGUGUUAUUGAUUAUAUUUUCUGCAUACUCUUGGGUAAUUUGUCCCAAAGACUCCAGAAGAUCAUUAAACCCCUUGCCAUAUUUUUGUUCAUGUAGUCUAAUCUAACAGAAAAUCAAUGGUCCUUGUUUCCCCCUCUCUCCUCUUCUUCCUCCUCUUCUUCCUUUCUCUCUCAUCUCUCCCUGCCCCCCUCCUUUCUUUCCUUCCUUCCUUCUUCCUUCCAUCCUUCAAAAUGUUUAAAUUAAAAUGCUUAUUUUACUCCCUUAUUCUUAGUCAACUGCAUCAUCUAAUGGCUUCCAAAAAAGGGACCAUGGGAGGUAAACUUUGUGAUAACUGAAUCUGUCUGAAAGUAUUAUUCUUUUCUCAUAUUUGAUUAAUAGUUUAGCUAGGUAUAGAUUCUAGGUUAGGAAUAUUUUUCCCAUAGAAUUUUAACUUCUAACACUAUCUUCUAACUCCAAAUGUUGCCAUUCAAGAUGUUGUUCAAGAUGUUCAAGAUGUUGCUGUUCUUUUUUUUAAGGUACUGGGGGUUGAAACUAGGGGUGCAUUACCACUGAUCUACAUCCUUAGGUCUUUAAAAAAAUUUUUUUUUUUUAAAUUUUAAGACAGAGUCUUGCUAAGUUGUUGAGGGCCUUGCUAAUUUGCUGAGGCUGGCCUUGAGCCUUGGCCUUGAGAUCCUUCUGACAGCCUCCUGAGUCACUGGGAUUACAGGCAUGUGGCAUUGCAUCUGGGUGUUCUUUUAUUUUGACUGUAAGGAUAUAUUUUUCUUUCCCAUGAAAAUUACCUGUUUUCAGGGCUGGGAAUGUGGCUCAAGCGGUAGCGCGCUCGCCUGGCAUGCGUGCGGCCCGGGUUCGAUCCUCAGCACCACAUACAAACAAAGAUGUGUGUCCGCCGAUAACUAAAAAAUAAAUAUUAAAAAUUCUCUCUCUCUCUCUCUCCCUCCCUCUCUCACUCUCUCUUUAAAAAAAAAAAUUACCUGUUUUCUGUCACUUCAUGGCUAAACCUAUAUACUCAUCCCUGCUGCGUUCCUCGACACUAAAACACUCAGGAUCACUCCAGGGGAACUGGGCUGCAUGAAAUAACCACACAAGAGACAGAGAUACCUUUUUCUUUAGGGGUCCUGUGACGGCUCCUCUGACCUUAAGGGUCCACAGAAAGAGAGAGAGAGAGAGAGAGCCAACACAUGCUGACCCUUUUAUUGAGAAGAAGCCAUUCAAAUGAGGCCAGGGGUCAGGUUUCAGGGGGCUGAGUCUAACUUCAUGAUGUCUGCUGUCAGCAGGUUGACUGACAUCUAGGAAGGCCACACCCAAAGGCAGAACAAGAGAAGGGGACACACAAAGGGUAUUUCCAUGGAACAUUCUAUCCCAAACAGGGCAAGGGAGUAAUAUCACAAAGGGACACCCCUGGGGUUGCAGGAAGGCACGCCUAUGCAUGAAGACACAUUCUGCUAUUUCGAGGAUCGGGGGGCAGUGUCUGGGGCCACUAUGAAUGUGGCCAGAUCACUAUGAAAAUGACCCACAGAGCCUCCACUGAUCACGAGAAGAAAUGCUGGUCACUCAGCGCGACGGCCCUCCCACAUCCCAUUUUCUGUUGAUGUUGGAACUUGAAUUAUGCAUCUUAUCCUUUUAUCUUUCUUUUUGUUCUACUCUUUGGUCAAGCUCAUUAACCUUACCCUUUCUAUUGAAUUUUUGAAUUUUAUUUUUUUUUAUAUUUAUUUUUUAGUUAUAGGUGGACACAAUAUCUUUAUUUCAUUUUUAUGUGGUGCUGAGGAACGAACCCAGUACCUCAUGCAUGGUAGGCGAGUGCUCUACCUCUGAGCCACAACCCCAGCCCCAUGAGUUUUUGAAUUUUAAUGUUUAAAUUUUAAAUUGUUGUCACUGUUUCUAUUGUGUGUGUGAGAGAGAGAGUGUGUGUGUGUGUAUAGCAUUGUCCUCUUGUUUUGUGUACAUAUUCUCUUAGCUCUCUUAGGGAGAGGAAGGGAGAAAAAAAUGAAUUGAUAGAGUCUGUUAGGUUUCACUACAUGAACUAUAUUUUUUCUGUUUUUUUUUCUGUUUUUCACACUGUUUCCCCUGAUUUUGCCUCCCCUUUUUUUUCUUUUGAAGUGUAUGUAUGCUGUUGGAGAUUUUCUUCAACAGCUUGCUUUUCAUAUUUGAUACUGAGACAUUAAGCAGAGCUAAUUGGAAACUAUUCACAUAGAUGGGGCAUGUCGAUUGAUGGGCUUCACCCUAUUGUGGGUGACUGGGACAAGCAGAAUUUUUUUCUGGGUACCCCCAAGUGUCAGAAUGUGUAGAUCAUAUUGUAGGGACUAUUUGGUUUCUCCAGAGAAUUUUCCAGUUACCUGCAUGGGGGAAUACUUAUGGGGCCACAAUGUUGAGAUUGUAGCAAUAGGGAAGGGGGUAUAGGGCUGUAGAUGUAGAUGUAGUAAGAUAUAUACAUUUUAUCGCAGUUUUUAUGUUUUCAGCUCAAUGGUAAAAAAAAGUUGGGGAGGGGAUUUGUGAAUUUAAUUGUUUUUUUGGUACUGGGAAUUGAAUCCAGGUCACUUAAUCACUGAGCCAUAUCCCCAUCCCUUUUUAUUUUUUAUUUUGAGACAGGAUCUCACUUAAUUGCUGAGGCUGGCCUUGAACUUUUGAUCCUCCUGCCUCAGCCUCCCGAGAUGCUGGGAUUACAGGCAUGUACCACUGCGCCCACAUUUAAUUGCUUUAUGUACAGACUUCUAAACAGUUUUUCUGCUUCCAGCUCAUUGUCCUUGUUCUAUCAGAGGUGUCUGGUCUCUCCAGGUCCUGAACAUUGGUGAAAGAUGACUGUUAUAUUUUUUGCAUACAUUCUCCUCUUUAGGCAUUUGAGUGUGUGUGUGUGUGUGUGUGUGUGUGUGUGUGUGUGUGUUGCUGGGGAUUGAACCCAGAGUCUUGUGCAUGCAAGGCAAGCACUCUACCAACUAAGCCAUAUCCCCAGGCUCUCUUUAGGCAUUGGAGUCUUCUACUGGGCUAUUAGUUCCAUUCCAUCUUCCAAAGCUGGUUGACAUCUCUAAUCCACCUCAUUGUUUUGUGGGUUUAUAACAUUUUUCUUUCUUUUUUUUUAAUAUUUAGUUUUUAGUUGUAGUUGGACACAAUACCUUUAGUUUGUUUAUUUAUUUUUAUGUGGUGCUAAGGAUCAAACCCAGGGUCUCGCACGUGCGAGGCGAGUGCUCUACCGCUGAGCCACAACCCCAGCCUCAUUUUUAUUUCUUUAUUUUCAUCUAACUGGGGUUUAGAGAUAAAUACAUGAAUGUAUUCAGUCUGCCACAUUGCAGAACCUUGCUUUUCCUCUUAAUGAUUUUUCCUAUGUGAGAAUAGUUAACAUAGUAAACAAGUCACUGUACUAUUGUGUCAGGGUCUCAUUAAGUUAUGUAGUGCCUCACUAAAUUGCUGAGGCUGGCUUUGAACUUGUGAUCCUUCUGCCUCAACCUCCUGAUCUGCUGGGAUAACAGGUGUGAGGAACCAUGCCUGGUUGUUAUUGUUUUUUGAGACUGGGUCUCACUUUGUAGCCCAAUCUGGCCUCCAAUACCCACACUUGAGAAAUCUUCUACCUCAGUCUCCCCAAUAGCUGGAACUACAGGCAUACCACCUUUUGAAUGUUUUCAUUUAGAUGGAAAAAUAAAAAGAUUAAAACAAUGAAGCUGGGAGCAAUGACACAUGCCUAUAAUCCCAGUGGCUCAGGAGGCUGAUGCAGGAGAAUCACAAGUUUGAGACCAGCCUCAGCAACCUAGUGAUACCCUGUCUCAAAAUAAAAAAUAAAAAUGGUUGGGGAUGUGGCUCAAUGGUAAAGUACCCCUGGGCUCAAUCCCCAGUACCACAAACAAAAAAUUGCUUUUGUUGGCUCAGGAUAUACUCAAGGGUUUACUAGUUGGAUGAGAUUGUUAACAUUUAUUUAUUUAGGAGCUGGGAUGGAACCCAGGGCCUUGCAUAUAUGCUAAACACACUCCACCAUGGAGGUACCCUCAGCUCCUGUUAACUCUUUUAAUCUACACAAGUCUACCUCUUGUCAUGUUUUUAACAGUUUGACUUUUUUCAGGAAUCCAGGCAUUUUUUUCUCUCUCUCUCUUUGGUUCCAGGGAUUGAGUAUGUCCAGGGCUUGUAUGUAACAAGGUAAAUGCUCUACCACUGAACUAUACCAUCCAGGUCCCCUCCCUUUAAAAAAAAAAUUGUAUAGGGUCUCCCUAGGUUGCCCAGGCUGACCUUGAACUUGAGAUCUUCCUGUCUCAGCCUCCUGAAACGCUGGGGUUACAGGCACGCAGCCUCAUGCCCAGCCCAGGCCAGUUCCACCUUCUGGAUUUAUCUGAGUGGGUUCUGAGGAUGGCAGGUGGUUCCAUCUUCUACCUGCUGCAAUUCCUGUAGUUUUUCAACUGAAAGUUGGAGUUCAGGAUCCUCAUUUUUCUUUCUCUGUCACUUUCCUCUUUGAUUCAGUUUCCUCCUGUAGUUGUUUGUUACUAUAAAGUAAAUUCCAUGGAGCAGCAGCAAGUGUCUGUGGGGACCUGUUCUGGCCUGCUGAAUGAACAGCACAUAGUAGGCACUCAGGAUGUAUUUGUGGAAUGAAUGAAUCCUUCACAUUCAGUGGCUUUAGUAGUCUUAGUAUCAUUUAACAUCUAUUGAAAAAAAAUCACUGUAAUAAUUUACCCUGUUUCUGAGAAUGCCUCUUGUUUUCAAAGGCCUCAAAGUCUGAAAAUGUCUUUAUUCCACACUUGAACUUGAGGUUUGUCCAGGCCCAGGAUUUGCUCUCUACUAUGUGGCAGACUGAAGGCGCUCUUUGUUUCCUUCCUUCCAGUGCAGCCACUGGAGUCCAGAUCUAUUUUUAUGCCGGAACCAGUUGCAGGGCUGGCCUUUAUGUGGAUGUGGCCUCUUUUUUUCUCUCUAUCUCCACUCUUUCUGCCUUUUCCUUGGUGAGAAGUUGAAUGCUUUCUCCUUCUUCAGUUCCCAUAGAUGGACAAUAGAGAUACUAAGAAUAUAUGAAGUUGUAAAGAUAAACUCCAUAUAGCUCAAGCCUAGUAGCAGAAUUAAAAAAAUUUUUUUUUUUUUAGUAGAUGGACAAAAUAUCUUUAUUUUAUUUUUUAUUUAUAUGUGGUGCUGAGGAUCGAACCCAGUGCCUCACACUUGCUAGGCAAGCGCUCUACCACUGAGCCACGACCCCAGCCCAGGAUCUUUUUGAUGAAUGAUAAUAAAAGCUAAUAUUUCCUAAACUCUUGUCAUAAUCAGAGUAUUUAAUAGGUACCAUGAUAGAACACUUUACCUGUUCUUUAUCAUUUAAUCUUUCCUACAGCUUUUUGCAGUAAGAACCAUUAGUCUGGGGCUGGGGUUCUGGCUCAUUGGUAGAGCGCUUGCCUAGCAUGUGUGAGGCCCUGGGUUUGAGCCUUAGCACUCCAUAAAAAAUAAAUAUAUAAAAUAAAGGUAUUAUGUCCAACUACAACUAAAAAAUAAAUAUUAAGAAAAAAAGAACCAUUAUCUAUCAAGCGCACCAACUAGAAACUGCAAGAGCCAGGCCAUCCCAGAGAGCCUCACCCCAGAGCACCCGAAAAGCUCUCUGUUGAACUGCUGCCCCCAUUCCUUCUAGACCAACCCCAGAAAUCAGUUUCCCAGGCUGCCAAAGCAAGCUCUGCUGUGCUGCUUGGGGGAAGAGGGGGAGAUGAGGUUGAGUCACAACCUUCCAUUCAUUUGGUGAAUGCUUUGUGGCAAGUUUUUAAGAAUACAAAUUCUAAAACAAUUAUGUUUAUUUUCUUCCCCAGGUCUGUGCCUCCCAGAGAGGAUGGCUUCCAGCCUCCUUUCUUGACUCUUCAGCUGAGGAAUUAUUCUCUCUCAUAAGAGGCUUGCAUGGACACAAGGGCAAGGUUCAGGCAGUUCCCCGUGUGUGAAAACCUCUCAGACUGGCACGUUGUAUAAAUUAUGACCCAAAUCAUCAGAUUUCUGUUCUUUGUCUGAAUGACAUUUUCACCUGGGAAAUCAUGCAUUCCAUGGAGGCCACAGAAAGACAAGUGAAUGUCAAGGCUCUGUGACAAAUGCCAGCCACCUGUAAGUGCAUAUUUUCAACUAUCUAGGUAGUUAGAGUUUUAAAUAUAACAUCUUUUUAUGCUAAAAUGAACCAAAAUGCACACAUUCCAGGGAACUUAAGGCUUUUUUUUUUUUUUUGGUGCUAGGGAUUGAACUCAGGGGUACUCAAUCACUGAGCCACAUCCUCAGCCCUAUUUUGUAUUUUAUUUAGAGACAGGGUCUCACUGAGUUGUUUAGCGCCUUGCCUUUGCUGAGGUGGGCUUUGAAUUUUCAACCCUCCUGCCUUAACCUCCUGAGCCACUGGGAUUACAGGCAUGUGCCACUAUGCUUGGCAAGUUGAGGGCUUUCAAUUGAUUUCUUUGGCUGGGUGUUGGGGAGUACUGGGUAUAGAACCCAGGGGCAUUUUACCACUGAGCUAUAUCCCCAGCCCUUUUUUAUUUUUGUUUUUGUUUUGAGACAGAAUCUCACUAAACUGCCCAGGAUGGCCUUGAACUUUUGAUCCCCUGCCUUAGCCUCCAGAGUUCUUGCUGGGAUUACAGGCGAGUAUUGCAGCACCUGCUCUUUUAAGUGAUUUUUAUGGGCCUUUUUUUUUUUUUUUUGUAUUCUUUCUUUCUUUAAAAUAUUUAUUUAUUUAUUUUAGUUGUAGUUGGACACAAUACCUUUAUUUUUUUAAUAUAUAUUUAUUUAUUUAUUUUUUAGUUUUCGGCGGACACAACAUCUUUGUUUAUAUGUGGUGCUGAAGAUCGAACCCUGGGCCACACGCAUGCCAGGCGAGCGCGCUACCGCUUGAGCCACAUCCCCAGUCCUAUUUUAUUUAUUUUUAUGUGGUGCUAAGGAUCAAACCCAGGGCCUUACACACACUAGGCGAGUGCUCUACCACUGAGCCACAACCUCAGCCCCUCCUAUUCUUUGUGGCAAGUAUAUUCCCAAAGAUCCCAAUUUCUUGCAACAGGAUAUAUUAAAAGUGAUGUUAUCUUUGACCUUGUUACAAUGCCUUUAUUAAUUUAUUUAGCAAACACCAAGAACUUAACUGUGUGCCAGCUAGAAAUUUUUUUAAAAAAUGUGUAAGGCAGCUGGGUUCACUGUCACACACCUGUAAUGUCUCAGCAAAUUGGAGGGCUGAGGCAAGAGGAUCAUGAGUUCAAAGCCAGCCUCAGCAGUUUAGUGAGGCCCUAAGUACCUCAGCAAGACCCUGUCUCUAAAUAAAAUAUAAAAAAGGACUAGAUAUGUGGCUCAGUGGUUAAGCACCCCUGGGUUUAAUCCCUGGUACAAAAAAAAAAGAAAGAAAGGCCAGGUUCUUGUCCUUGUUCUCCUAUUUUUUUUUCCUGGUGCUGAGGAUUGAACCCAGGGCUUUGUGCAUGUGAGACAAGCACUCUACCAACUGAGCUGUAUCCCCAGCCCCUACCUCGUGUUUGGCAGAUGUCAGCAAGUGGACUACAGGGCAUUUUGAGAUGGGCGAAAGGGCACUAUGCACUAGGUGUGGAGAGAUGCAGGGGAGUGAGGGCUCUACCGCAGGGGCUGGUUAGGGGGACAAUCAGAGAAGCCUUCAUGGUGGAAAUCACUGUUUUGGUCUGGAUUUAGAAGGGUGAGAUGUGGUCAAAAGUUGACAUGGAGGACAAACAAGGUAAGCAGAAAGAAUAUUAUUGCUGAGAUUUGAUGACAGUCAACAGCAUGGCUUUCAGGAAAGGCAAGGAUAGGGUAGGGUGUGGCUGGGGCAUAAAAAUGUUAUAGAUACUGGUAGGAUAUGAGCCUGGGGAGAGCCUUGAUUAGAGAAGUAGACUUUGUUCUGCAGGUGACAGGGAGAAUGAAUGCCAGCGUAAGCUGGGAGAGGGAAUCACAUGGGAGCAGCUGAUUUCCCGAGGCUGCUCAGGAAAGCAGGAUGCAUGACCAUUAGAUGAUUGUGAUAGUUCAGGAUGAAGAGAGUGAGGGUGAGGUCAUGCCUGGGAUAGAUUUGAGAGUUUCAGAAGUCUUAUUUAGCAGGACUGGCUGACUGGCUGUGGACAGAUGGAGAAAGGGACGCCAAGCUCAUGACAGCAGUGGCUGCCAUGACUACCAGGUGCUUCCUCCACAGAAGGCACUUGUGUGCAUCACCUCAUUUAAUCCCACAUCAGCCCUGUGGGAGGGAUUGCAUUGUUGUCAGCAAUUUUUUUGUGUGGGGGUACUGGGGAUUGAACUCAGGAGCACUCAGCCACUGAGCCACAUCCCCAGCCCUAUUUUGUAUUUUAUUUAGAGACAGGAUCUCACUGAGUUGCUUAGUGCCUUGCUUUGCUGAGGGUGGCUUUGAAUUUUCAAUCCUCCUGCCUCAGCCUCCUGAGCCACUGGGCCUACAGGCCUUGCGCCACUGUGCCCAGCUUGUCUGCAUUUUAUGGGGGUGGGGGAGUUGGAGCCCAGGGUAGUCCAUCCCAAUGACCAGCUAGUAUAUGGUGGUAGUAAGUGGUGGAGUUAGGAUCUGAACUGGAGGAAAUCAACGCCCUAGCUUCUCCAUCAUCCUGGAUCACCAAUUCUAAGUGGUUGGGAAGUGAAGCACCUACCCAGAAACCAGUUAAUGAGUGGUGGAUUGAGGCCUGAAACCUGCUAGAACCACUUACUAUUCCAAAGAGUGCACAGUCAGGCUCCUGUGUGCCAUAUCAGGCCAUAGAUAUAUUGUGUUUGGCUCAUAUUUUUAAAAAUAUUUAUUUAUUUAUUUUUGGUACCAGAGACUGAACCCAGGGGACUUUUCCACUGAGUUACAUCCUAAUUCCUUUUUUUUAAUUUUAAUUUCAAGAUAAGGCCUUGCUAAGUUGCUGAGACUGGCCUUGAAUUUGUGAUCCUCCUGCCUCAGCCUCCUGAGCUGGAUUACAGGAAUGUACCACUGCACUCAACUCAAACAGUAUUUUAAUACCACUUUUAGAACUAAUUUCUAACUUUUAAAAAUGUGGAGAUUCACAUUAACAACUCAGUUUCUGGCUUUUCCUGGAAAGUGAGGAGAUCUAAAUACACUGGCACCAUGCAGCCUCCAGACAGAGCUGUCUGUCCACAUCCUUCAGAUGGGACCUGUGCUCCCUCAUCUGCCUGAAACCCACCAGCCUAUCUGGGGCCUCUGCCCACCUCCACAGGCCCACAGGUGGGCUCCACCACAAUGUGUGCUGCUCAGCUGGGAUUAGAUGCCAGGCUGUCCUUUAAUCCCUGUCAAGCCCUGGUCUUUAUAGAUGGCCAAAUGCCCUUUCCAAGUUUUAGGGAAUAUAAGGCAAAAACAACCACGGUUUUACUUUGUUUGCUUUUUACCGUCAUGCUGUGGGAAUUGAGAAAAAUUCAAUACCCACCCAUGCUUGAGUGCCCAGGGCUGGAGGAGGGUUAAAUGUGGUUCCUGCAGGACAAAGGUGAAUGGUUGUAGUUCCUGAAACCAGCACAGGUUAAAAUGCCAACAAAUAGCGCUCAGAAAAUGGCAAAAGUCAUGGCCUAUUAUUAGUAUGCAAAGUAUGCUGUGAUGUUUUUGUUUAAUUUGUAAGGAAUCAUUUGCUUGGAUUUUGAGCUAUGUACUUUGGAUGUGUUAUAAGGAAGUUUUGAGGGGGAUGUGUGUGUGUGUAUGUAUGCGUGCCCACAUGGGACAGUGCUUGUAUAUAUGGGGUCGGGGGGCCACAGCUUACAUAGCUUAGAAUUUCUUAUAGGUGCUCAGUUCCAGAAGAACUGUUCUAACAGUUCUUCUUCCUUUACAUGCACUGCACCUAGGCAUUAAAAUAAAUAUUUUAAACUAAGAAAAAUAGUAACAGGAUUUGAAACCAGAUGGCAUUAGAAGAGACAGACAGAGAGAGAGGAAAGAGGGAGAAAGAAAGAGAAAGUCCAGGAAAUAUUUCCUUUAGAAAGUUUUAUGAUUUAUUAAAGGUUGAAAACAUGUUUCUGUACCAUUAAGUUAAAAUGUAAGGCUUGGACUGGCAAACAGGCAUUUGUCAAAAAUGUUUUGUCAAUAAUUAUUUUAAGAUAUAACAUAUAAUUAUUUUAAGAUAUAAAUUAUUUUAAGAUAUCCCAUGGCUGUGGUCAGUUUGGACAAAUGACCAAUCUGCAAUCUGUAAACUGCCAUCAGAUGCAAGAAGUCCACCGACACUAGAGCUGCCCAGGUUUGACUCCUAGUCUGCUCUUUGCACUCCGCCUGACAACCUUCCCUCGUGCCUGGCUGCCUGAUCCAGGCACUGGAGGAAAGUGAAUGUUGAUGCUGGCCAUGAGGUUUUCCAAGGCCACUGGGCACAAUUCUGGGGUUGCCACUGGGUCUCAGAGUCUCAUUGUUUUGCAAGGGUCACUGUUCUGUCACACCACACUGCCUCAACUUGUUAGAGGCAAGCUUUCCCCUGGGAACGAGAGUUAAUCAAAAAGUUCCUGUUGCACAUCAAUUUGGUCCUGGGUGUAAUUUCUACUCAGAUUACAUGGAUCUUGUAAGGUCACGCUCUGCUGCUCCCUGGACUCUGACCGCUGCCCGGCACCUUCUCCUUCCUCCUCAGAGACACCCUUCCCUGCCAAGAGCAGGCCUAGGGUGGGACCUAGACAUGGGCUGUGGCCAAUUCUUCUGUUCUCAGAUUGUUUCUUGACAGAUGCCCAAAACAAGAAGCUGGGGAUGAGAGGAACCCAGGCAAGCUCUGAUCCUGAACUUGGAUAUAGUUCCCUAACAGCUGGCAUUUUAUCUCAGUCACAUUAUAAUUUUAUUUUGUUGUGUUGCAAAAAAACCUAGGUUCCUCAAAAGAUUUGGCCAAGUUCAUAGCAAAGUUCUAGUACUUAUUCAUUCAUUUAACACAAAUUUAUUAAGUACCUAUUAUAUUUGUCAGAUACCAUUCCAGGAGUCAGGAUUAUUAUGACAGAGAACAAAACGGAUGAAUGGCCCUGUUCUCUUGGAGCUUACAUUGUUAUAGAAAGAAAAAUGAUGAAUGAGUAAUAUGUUCUAAGAAAUUUGAAGAAAAAUUUGUAAUCCCAGUGACUCAGGAGGCUGAGGCAGGAGAAUCAUAUUUGAGGCUGGCCUCAGCAAUUUAGUGAGGCCCAAGCAACUUAGCAAGACCCCAUCCCCAAUACCAGACCAAAAAAAAAAAAAAGAAAGAAAGAAAAAGAAAAGAGGGGCUGGGGCGGUGGCUCAGUGGCAGAGCACUUGCCUGGCAGGUGGGAGGCCCUGGGUUCAGUCCUCAGCACCACAGAUAAAUAAAGAUCCAUUGGCGACUAAAACCUAAAAAUAAAAAUAAAAGAAAAGAAUGAAAGAUAUUUGAAGAAAAAUCAAGCAGGGUAAGAGAGAGAGCACAAUAAUGGAGAGGUGGGCUGCUCUUAGGCUUUUCUGAUGGGGAGACUUGAAGCAGAGUGGGAAGGAGGCCAGGUGCUGCCAGGGAGCUGUCUGGAGGAGUCCUUUCCAGGCAGGGCAGCAGGAGGGCGUAGCUUCCCAGCCAGGUGUGUUAGUGGCCUGGUGAGUGGCAGCUUCUCACUGACUGUGUCCUGGCUGGGCCUUGUCUGCCUGUGGUGGGCUUGUUGGGAGGAACCAGUGGAAUCAUUUAUGUGAAAACAUUUGUAUAAACAUCAAACACUGUAUAGGAAUAUUCUGUUUAUGUUGUCUCCAUCAAGUAUUUGUAAAGUGGCUAAAUCAUCAAGUAUUAUUAACUAUAAUUAUUAUAUUGCAGUUCUGCCCCCUUUGUUUUCUUAUUAUCAAGGUGAAUUUCACCUAACAUUAACAUUGUUAUAUGUUACAAUCAGUGGCAUUUGUUCCAUUUAUAAUGUUGCCCAGCCACCACCUCUCUAGUUCAAAACUUUACCAUCAUCCAUGCUCUUUUUAUUCAUUUUUCUUAUUUAUUUAUUUACUUACUUUGUGGUGCUGGGUUGGAACCCAGGACUCAGAGCAUGCUAACCAGGCAUUCUGCCAUUGCCCCCAUAUUUUUCAGUAUUAAUUUAUGUUGUCACUCCUGAAAUAGGAUUUCCCCCAUUUCUGCUUUGUUCUUUCCAUUUCUGUCUGACCUGCACUAGUUCCUAUGGUUCCUCCUUGUCCUUAUUCAACAGGUAUUUAUCAAGGGCUGGGGUGUGGUUCAGGGGUAGUGUGCUUGCCUAGCAUGCCAAGGCCCUAGGUUCCAUCCCCAAAACUGCCACCAAAAAAAAAAAAAAGGUAUUUAUCAAGCAUCUAGUACACAGUAGGCAUAAUGCUAGACAGACCCGGGGAAUUCAGGGGUUUAGAUACUGAACAGAUAAUUGACAGGAAAUUUAAUUAUGAUACAUGUUUAUAAGGGGAAAAACGCUGUAAAUACUGUGUUAAAAAUUUUGUGUGGGCUAGAAAUGUGUGAGGUCCUGCAUUGGGUCCCCAGCACUGCAAAAAGUUAAAAAAAAAAAAAAAGUGAAGUUAUUAGAGCUGCUAGAAAAAAAGCUGCCACAUAAUUGUGUUCCCACGGCAAGAGACACUGGGGUGAAAGAUCUCCUCGGGGAAGUGAAAUGGAUUUUGCUUGGGCAGAAGCAGGCGUGGUACCGGUAAAAACAGCAGGGCCUCAUUCAUUUGCUCCUGAGAACGACCCUUUGACGUGAGCAAGGAUGACCGUCGCGCCCCUUUUACAGACGUGGAAACAGAGGUUCAGCCGGCUGUGCCUUUCUAAUGCCACCUAGGGGUUGUAGCUAGCGUGUCGCUUUAACCAACGACGGCCUGGUGGAGCUGAAAGCCUUUUGUCCAACAGAGGGCAGCCGCGCACCGGGCGGGGGCAGGAGACCGUCAGCGCCCCAGCAGAGGGCGCCGCCCCGACGGCCCGACUCCGGGAGUCCGGGUACAGGAGCCCAGCGCCUGCGGGCUUCUCUAUGCUAGUUCGUGCUUGUGUUUUCUUAAACGCUUGUUCUUUAAUCAAAUUGUAGGAUAACAGGUCAGAGCAGCUACCCGAGUCACCCGCAGCUGUGAGCCAGUGACCACCGACACCCGGUCUGCCCCUCCCAGGCCCGCGGCUUGCCACGCACCCUGCCCGCGGUCCUGGAGGCCGCACGUCGCUCAUGUAGGCGCAGCCUGGAGUUUCUUCAGGCGGAUGACCUGGCAGCCUUUGCACCCCACCCACAACUGGUUUCGCUUUCCUAAUGCUGUUAAAAGUGCCUUCUAACUGGAGUGGGGUGGCGGAACAGGUUUCAGCAUUUUACUUACUUUUUUAUAUGCUCAUUUAAGAUUUCUUUGGUUAGUCCCUUCCCUCCCCCUCAAGAAGAUGCCCAGCACUGCCCUCUUUGGCGUUUGCCCAAAGUCCAGGUUCUAAUAGCUUUUGACUGUGGUUUCAUUUUAACCAUAAAACCUACUUUUGGAAUAAUUACUUUUUAAUUUUCUGAAAAGGUCCGGUUUAGUGCAGGGCAAUAGUGGGUGAAGUUAUGUUCAUUUACUGCUAACCUACUUCUUUUUUUAAAAAAAGAGGCUGAUUUGGGGAAAAUGGAAAUUGUAACCAGAUAGAUCAGUUUGGACAUUUGUUUGAACAGCUGCUUUAAUCAAUUUAAUAAGCUCAGGUGUCUAGGGAGUGCAAACCAGAGGAGAGAAUGGGGGACCUGGAGGCCCCUGGGAAAUUGCUGAGCUGCAUAUGGCAGAGAAUGGCCUCUUAUCAGAGCUGUCCUGUGGGCACCUGUAUAGCCUCUAUUUUCCAUGACAAUAUGCAUUUCUGGGACAGAAAACACAGCCCUUUGUCUGAUGGCAUAUCAAGACCCUCACCAAUUCUCAUUUCUGAAAAUAUAAUUUCUUAAGAGUGUGUUUUCUUAAACACACUCUUCCUUAAGAAUUGCCUGACCCAGGCAGCAGUGGCAGAGCUGGGUCCAGAGAUCCCUGUGCUCCUUGAAAUAGUUCUACUUCCCCUUCUUCCUUCAUAACUCAAAUCCUUUGAUAAUGAUUACUUGUAUUUGUAAAACCCCAAAGGAUUCUUGAUGUAUCAAGGGCAGAAAUUGAUUAUCUCCCAUUUUGUGGUUUAGGUGGCAAACUCCUUAUUUGGCAAUUAAAAAAAAAAAUCGAAGAUGAGAAGAAAAUGGGAAGUAUGGUGGAGAUCAUUCUAGAAAAGAAAUACCAGUCUCCACUGAAGCAAACACAUUGAAGACUUACUUAUAAAAAUGGUCUCCACUUUACUGUAGAUUCAUACUUGGCUUACUUAAAUAUGGAGCUCUUCUGGAGCAUUUAGUAGGAUGGAGGACAGAAAAACCAGAGAUAUCCGUGGAAAAUCAGUCUUAUAAUAUGAAAAUCAAGGGUCUGAUUACCCAGUAGGAAAGACAUGAGUCUUUGGGGCUGGAGGUGUAGAUCAGAGGCAGAGCUCAUAGUCAGUGAGCACAAGGCUUAGCAGCCAGGAGAUGAGCCUUCCAUUUAGAAAAAUCUGACCUCGUGCAGACAUUUAUAAAGGCAGAUGCAAAAAGCCAGAUAUAUCCAUGCUGGCCUGUUAAUCCCACAAAAGCUCAGAGGCGCAGGGCGUGUGUCUUUCACAGCUUGACACUGUUGUGCUUCCUGUCCACUCUGUGAAUGUCCCAUCAACACAUCUAUCGGUUGUAUUUGGUGUGUCUGAGCAGAACAAUUCAUCCAUUCAUGAUCUGAGCUGGCAGAGUAGAGAACUCUGCUCCUCACUUCUCUCACCUCGGAAUUGGAUGGAAGAAGAGAGAAAGCAAAAUUUUCAUGUGCCCAGAGGAAAACAGGUACUGCAGAGAUGAGAGACGAAGAGAAGAGGAGGAGGAGGAGGAGGAAGAGGAAGGAAGAUUGCCAAGCUAGUGGGAGUUUGAUCACUGCUGAGAAUGCAUAUCUGUGUUGUCAUACAGUUUCUCGCCCAGCCUUCCAACUCAGCCCUGUGCUGGCAUCUCGGGCAGUUCCUCUGUUUCUCAGACCUUGCCCACUUCCUGAGGCCACUCUUCCCAUUUGGCUCUGGGCUGCCACAUGGCAGGACACCUCUUUCCUGAGUCUUUCCUAUGCACCUGCAAGGGUGGGAGAUUGAAGUGGCGCUCUCAGGUGAUGGUAGGCUCCCUGAAGGAAGCUGUCACCCCUAGGCUGUACUUAGUGAUGUCUCAAGGAGCCAUGGGAGGUGACAGUUGGGCACCCAUUCAGUUGGGAGGGAGAUAGCACGGAUUCUAGAUGCCUAUCUAAUGGAGCUAAGUUACCCUGGCCAAGGGCUUGUCUGUAUCUCAGCUGGUUUGGGGAUAGGAGAGUAGGAUUGGAAACUUUUAUUAUUAUUAUUAUUAUUAUUAUUAUUAUUAUUAUAGUUUGGACUGAACCACUGAGCAACAUUCCCAACCCUUUUUAUUUUUUAUUUUGAGGCAGGUCUCAAUAAGUUGCUUAGGGCCUUGAUAAGCUGCUAAGGCUGGCUUUGAAUUUGCGAUCCUCCUGCCUCAGCCUCCCCAGUUGCUGGGAUUACAAAUGUGUGUCAUAGCACUUGGCUAAGGGACUGGGAACUUUUGCACCAUGAAUGCUUGGCAUGUCAUGAUGAUUUUCCCAGAGCCACAUAACCAGCACACAUAGGUUGAGGCUUCUCUUUGUCUAGAUUCUAUCCUCAACAGCAUAGAAAAACCAGUGAGAACAAUAGAGACAGAAAAACAGAAGAUCCCGUAAGAGGCUCAGGUGCCAGAAGUCCUGGGAUAUUCAGGGGGUGGCUGUUGACUGAGGAGUCCUCUAGGGGCAUAAGGAGAACAUUCUGCAUAUUGGCCAUUGAGACAUUCCCUCUGAGUACUCUAAUCCUGGAGAGAAAGGAACCCAGGGCUUAAGUCAGAGUAUAGGGAGUUGACCUAAUUGUAAGGUUGUCUGUCUGUUUAAUUAACAGAUAGUUCUGUGGAGAGAGACAGCAAGGUCACACAUAACCAUGAAUAUUAGCAACACUGUCCUGGGGCUCUGGAAAAACUGAUGGCCAAGUGUUCAUCUGAAGACUCGUUCUGUCUUGGUCUCCAGGCUGGCACGGAUCGGGAAUAAAGGAAAAUAUGGAAGUGGCAUCCAAAUAUUGGUUCUGAAAAGCCAACGGACUGGGAAGAACAGGUGUGCACCUUUAGAUCCAGCCAUGGUCUAAGGAAGUCGCAGAUGCAUUACCUCGCCCUUCCCCUUGGUGCCUUGUGGGGCCCUGGAGGCCAUGUCGGAAUCACAGCAGCCGCGUAUGGGACAGCGCUGCUGACAGGGUGUUCCUGCACCAGACUUACCCUGUCAGCAAGACACUAUGUACAACAUUCAUUUGCCAAAUUGUGGCACAUUAUGUAAAUCUCUUUUAAGCUCACUUAAAUUGUUUAGAAAUAUUGUAGAUAGGAAAAGCUAGAAACACAUUUAACAAACCAUGAUUACUGAGAUUAGAGUGCUUUGAACUUGAGCAUUAGAGAAACUUGUGAACUUGUAGGAUUGACCAGGACAAGUGCCCAUCUCUUCUGAGAAGCAUUCAAGUUUGUUGAGGGUAACAGCAUUGGCUGAGAGGCAUUCUGGGAAGCUGGGAGCAGAUGAAGGGGGAAGGAAGGAAAGAGCUAAGAAGUCAGAAAACAUCUCCCAAUACCAAGAGUUAGUUUUCCCUGCACAAAAUGCUGGAGGUAGAACUGUCUGGGUCAGUUACCUGGGUCCAAGAACAAGCUGCCAGGAAGAAGCCCGCGCCACCCUGGACAAAGCAAUGGGGUGAAUGUCUCAUGGCAGCCGCUUUGAUUUCAAAGACAAAAUAGUUGAACCCCAGACCUCGCUGUAGCUGUGAAGCGUCACUCUAAAUUUAUAAGCUCAUUAAAGUAGUAUUUUUGACUGUCUACAUGUUUGGCUUUACAGAAAAUACACAGAAUGCUUCCAGCCACACCUAAGCCGCC
rnacentral:lncRNA from 1 species